rnacentral:rRNA from 1 species
AGGAUGAACGCUGGCGGCGUGCCUAAAACAUGCAAGUCAUACGGGCUACCUUCGGGUAGCCAGUGGCAAACGGGUGAGUAACACGUGGGAACGCGCCUUGGGGUGGGGAAUAACGCUGAGAAAUCAGUGCUAAUACCGCAUAUGGUCUAACGACUAAAGCAGCAAUGCGCCCCGAGAGCGGCCCGCGACCGAUUAGCUAGUUGGUGGGGUAAUGGCCUACCAAGGCGGUGAUCGGUAGCUGGUCUGAGAGGAUGGUCAGCCACACUGGGACUGCGAACGGCCCAGACUCCUAUGGGAGGCAGCAGUUAGGAAUUUUCGGCAAUGGACGAAAGUCUGACCGAGCGACGCCGCGUGGAGGAUGACGCCUUUCGGGGUGUAAACGUCCUUUUCUGCGGGAAGAUAAUGACGGUACCGCAGGAAUAAGCACCGGCUAACUACGUGCCAGCAGCCGC